GUAGGUGAACCUGCGGAAGGAUCAUUAUUGAAUAUUCUUGAUGGGUUGUAGCUGGCUCUCCGGAGCAUGUGCACACUUGUCUUGACUUUAUUCGUCCACCUGUGCACCUUUUGUAGUCUUGGGGGCUUAGAGCAGUCGACCAUCGGAUGGCUAUGGCCUUUCCGGACAUGAGGAUUGCUGAGUGCGAAAGCAUACAGCUCUUCUCAAAUGACUUCUCCCUCGAGUACUAUGUAUUCAUAUACCAUAUAGU
rnacentral:misc_RNA from 1 species